GUGCGGGUCGACGGCGGAUGGAAGAGCAGGGCCGCGCCUGAAGGUAUACGACGCGCCGACGCCGACAUCGCUGGCGUGGCGGAGAUCUCGCUGCCGAUCCAUGAUGUGCCCUGGGAGCACUUCCACCACCUCCCAGUACGCGUUGGAUGUGAACGUGGAGAGGGUGGAGGACAUGGUGACGCACCAGCGGCUGCUCGAGGAGGCUCGAUACCUGCAUCAUCGGCUUGCCUUGGCGGUGGGUGUCGUCCAGAUUGCAGUGAUACUAUCCAAGAUACAAAUAAAGGAUGGAGGCCAAGGGAGAUUGUGAUGUAGAAUGGUUGCAAAAUAAGAAGGUUUACAAUGUGUUGCAGCAACAGUAGGCGAAACUAUUUAGCAGCUGCCAUUAGUGAGUUUGUUAAAGAAGUCCUCUUCCAGCUCUAGACAAAUAUCUUUGGCGUGAUGCAAGGAUGGCAUCUACGCCUCACGACCUAUCGCUUUCUUGGGAAAAUGGAUUGAGAUUGAGAAAGGAAACAAAGAGCUCGUCUCAAGAAAGGUAUGGAUUUACGUGCAGUUUAUGGACGCUUUAGAAAUUUUGUAGGCUGCUAGCCAUUUGACUGGUGUUUGGUUGAUAAAUUGUUAACUAAUUGAGUAGAUACUCACUAUCUUAGUUUGGUGAAAUUGAUUUAUAUUUAAUUUUUACAUGGUUCUCUCUCAUAUUCUUAAUUAACCUGGUGGUGGAUAAUGGCCUAUUGGUAUCUUGGUUUUAUGCCUAUGGGAUAUGGCAAGAGAUGAUGGUCUCAUGGAGCAUUGAUUUUACUUGAUGAUGAGAAGAUUUCAGUAGAACAUUGCUCUGCCGUGCUUGCAACAUCCUAAUAGACAUGUGGUUAGAACAGGGCAGCGCAUAUCGUCUCCCGGAUUAGAACAGGCAUGUGAGAAUUCUUGUGCCUCUAUUGUUUAUUUCUCAAUGUUGUUGUCAUACUAUGACAGCCAUGCAGUUUAUUGAUACCUUUGAAGAAUUAUUGAGGGAUUAUGCUAUGUAGUAGCCAAGAUGCAGCAGUCGAGGUAAUAAAUUUCAGGUUUUUGUAUCAUCCUCCCUGGCUUCCUCCUGAAUAACCACCCAACCGAUUUGGUUGUUCAUUUCCAUGACUGCACAACCUGUUUGCGAUCCACAUUGGCCUCUGUCAAAAAGUUUAAGGUCUUGAACAAUGUAUGUGGUUCUGAAUAUACACUUGGGAGUCCACACAUAAUUAAAUCAUCUGGGAAUGAUGGGUUAUACUUCCUCAUUAAGCUUGCGUAAUGUUAGGAUAUGCAUCCACAAGAAAGGACCAUGAGCUCUAAGUAAAAUCAACACUAAAAUAGGCAGGUAUUCCGAGAACUGAUUUACAUGACUUAUUUUUCCCUUUGUUGUAGAUCUGCUCUUAUUAUUUUCCGUAUAUUCUAUUGAUAAUUUUGUCUACUAAAAAGGUGGGUACUCGUUAAGCAUGUCGUGGCGGAGUGUGUUUGUUCUAAAUUAUGAAUAACCAUAUAAAAUGUGUGACUCCGUCAGUUAUCAUCAUGACACAUGCCUUGAUCCUUCAAGAUUUUCCAUUUCUCUUUCCAUGAGUGAAUGCAUUAAGAAAUGGCACGUUGAUUGAUUCAUUUUCUAAUGUAGUACCACAUUUAUACACAAGCAGAAAUCCUUAAUUUGGCACACGAGAAGGUUAAGAAGACCUGCAAAUUACGAUUACAGUACAGUUUUAUAUCCCAGUUAGUUGACCAUGCUCUUUUCUGUUUUAUUUGCUGAUGCAACCUACGAUAAGUUUAGUCAAGAUAUCUAUGGUCUCCUAGAUUGCCGAUGUGAGUUUGCUAUUCAGAAAUUUAUAUUUUUUGAUACUAACAAAGAAUCCAGUUGAUGUGUCCAUAGUUUUGUUUCUCUUAGCUAGGAUCUAGAUAAUGUAAAAAUACAAAUCAUUUA